CUCUGGAGAGCGGCGCCCGCUUUGCGAGGCGCCCACCGAUGGGGCCAGGACGACCGUGCUGCACCGUGUCGGCCAGACAAUCUCUCAGGUACAUGGACAGAG
rnacentral:ncRNA from 2 species